UGAGGAGAAGGUGUGUGGACAGGUGUGAGGAGAAGGUGUGAGGACAGGUGUGAGGACAGGUGUGGUCCUUACCUCAGGACAGUUCUUGUCCAUGUCAGUCAGGUCUUUGGACAGGGCGGACAGGGCGACAUCUUUCUGCAGGUGCCACAG